AGGUCGGCGGGACAUGGCGGCGGGGCCGGGCCGGGGUCCCGCCCCGCACCGGGGGUCCCGCCCCGCACCGCCCGCCCCGCCCUCUCAUCACGCCGUCCGCAGAUCCUGACCACGACCGCAAUGUGGUUAAUAAAGUGGGGCUGAAAGAUGCCUGUGGCAUUCCUUGGCUGGCUGCUGGGCUGACAGGGACACCUUUGCCCCUCUUCUCCUGCCAGAGCUUGGCUUUCCUCUCUCCUGCUCUCCAGACAAGGAAGAACUGGCCCAAGACUAUUCCUAGCCUGGCAGUGUGACCUGCAAGAUCAGCUCCUGCUGUUCUUGACCUGAACACCUGCCUGGCACCCUGGAGAUCUCCCUGCUUCAGCUGCUUGCAGGCUGGAAUGAAUCGACAUUCCUGAUGGUGUCAGCACAAAAGGGCACCACUGAAACUGCUGUUCCAUCUCCAGAGGGAGCCACCAGCACCUGGCAGAGCUGUCUCCAGAGAUGAGCAGGUAUUUCAUGUAUGCUAAGAUAAAUCUGUCUGUCCAGACAAAAAUAAAUUUGCAAA